rnacentral:ncRNA from 1 species
AAAUCGAUCCCGAAGGGUUGCCGGAUGGUAGCCAAUCUCGAAAGAGAUAGGGGUCGAUUCCGCU